GGACUACUCGGGUAUCUAAUCCCGUUUGCUCCCCUGGCUUUCGUGUCUCAGCGUCAGCACACUCCCAGCGACCUGUUUUCACCUUUGGCGUUCCAAACGAUAUCUACGCAUUUCACCGCUCCACCGUUUGUUCCGGUCGCCCCUAAGUGGCUCAAGACCGCCAGUAUGCCAAGCAGUUCCACGGUUAAGCCGUGGGAUUUCACAAGGCACUUAACGAUCCGCCUACACACGCUUUAAGCCCAGUGAUUCCGCCUAACGCUCGAGGCCUCUGUAUUACCGCGGCGGCUGGCAC
rnacentral:rRNA from 1 species